rnacentral:rRNA from 1 species
CAUGCCGCGUGUGUGAAGAAGGCCUUUUGGUUGUAAAGCACUUUAAGCAGUGAAGAAGACCUAACGGUUAAUACCCGUUAGCGAUGACAUUAGCUGCAGAAUAAGCACCGGCUAACUCUGUGCCAGCAGCCGCGGUAAUACAGAGGGUGCAAGCGUUAAUCGGAAUUACUGGGCGUAAAGCGAGCGUAGGUGGCUUGAUAAGUCAGAUGUGAAAUCCCCGGGCUUAACCUGGGAACUGCAUCUGAUACUGUUAGGCUAGAAUAGGUGAGAGGAAGGUAGAAUUCCAGGUGUAGCGGUGAAAUGCGUAGAGAUCUGGAGGAAUACCGAUGGCGAAGGCAGCCUUCUGGCAUCAUAUUGACACUGAGGUUCGAAAGCGUGGGUAGCAAACAGGAUUAGAUACCCUGGUAGUCCACGCCGUAAACGAUGUCUACUAGUCGUUGGGUCCCUUGAGGACUUAGUGACGCAGCUAACGCAAUAAGUAGACCGCCUGGGGAGUACGGCCGCAAGGUUAAAACUCAAAUGAAUUGACGGGGGCCCGCACAAGCGGUGGAGCAUGUGGUUUAAUUCGAUGCAACGCGAAGAACCUUACCUGGUCUUGACAUAUCUAGAAUCCUGCAGAGAUGCGGGAGUGCCUUCGGGAAUUAGAAUACAGGUGCUGCAUGGCUGUCGUCAGCUCGUGUCGUGAGAUGUUGGGUUAAGUCCCGCAACGAGCGCAACCCUUGUCCUUAGUUACCAGCGGGUUAAGCCGGGAACUCUAAGGAUACUGCCAGUGACAAACUGGAGGAAGGCGGGGACGACGUCAAGUCAUCAUGGCCCUUACGACCAGGGCUACACACGUGCUACAAUGGUAGGUACAGAGG